UCUCUCUCUGUGACUAUCAUAAAUAAAUAAAAAUUUAAAAAAAAUUAAAAAUAAAUAAAAAUAAAAAAUAAAUAAAAUAAAAAAGGGAAAGUUAUAAUGCCAAAACAGGUCAUUUUAAUGAAAUGGUAACACAUGAGGGUCAGGAAAGUAAUAUCCACCAAAAUAAAUGAUGAAAAAUGUGUUAUUCAACUAACUAUUCAGCAAGAUACAAGCAAAAUUCAAAUAUAUUUAGGGAGUAAAGAAUUAAAUUUUCAUUUUUCCCCGCACACAUUCAAAUUGUCUGUGUACCUGUUACCCCCACUGGACUGCAGGCUCCCUGAGGACACAGCCUGGGCUGCAAAAGUGGCCCUUGUUCUAUCUUCCUCCCUGUGGCUUUGCAGGUACUCCCAUCAAGAGCUGGAGUCUAUGUCCCCCUCUUGGAAUCUAGACUGGCUCUGAGAUUAACUUUGGCUUAGAAUGUGGUGGAAAGGACAGUUCUGAAUCUAGGCCUUAUUUUGCUCUCAUGGAACCAUGGUCAGCUGCCAUGAGAACAAGACCAGGCUAUCCUGCUGGACGAGAAAAACACGUGUGGCACACAGCCUGCUGGGUCAGGCCUAACCCAACCCACCCCCACUGACCCAUCAACCAACUGCAGACAUGCAGGGGAGCCCAGCCUAGCCACCCAGAUGAUCCAGACCCGGUGCUCUGGCUCCCCAUCACUGAGCUUCCUCCACUGCUGCUGCCGCCAUCAUCAUCACCCUGGGAGUAGCGCGUGAGGCGCUGGCUUCGGCGAGACAUGACAAGUUUACCUGACUGCUGAACUGCAUGAAACGCAGAACCCGACCUUCUGCAAACUUUGGCACAUAGCAGAGCACAUAGAACAUGAUAGCCAUGCAAUAGAUGCUAACCAAAUGCCUUUGAUCGCUGCUGCCGUGCACAGACCCUCCGGUCCAGCCAUCCUACCAUGCUGCCCUCCCCCUAGAACUGUGUGCACUCUUUCCAGUCAUUUAUCUUAAAGGAGACACACUUUC